CUCGCCACUGCACCUGACCAGCCCUGUUGGCUGAUGCAAUUCAGUGGUGCACUUGAUAGCAAACCCCAGUUUAUAAAACAGGGUUGUCCUUCAAAGGGAUGACUCUAUGCCAAACACAUGGGAACAGCA
rnacentral:snoRNA from 1 species